AUUGAACGCUGGCGGCAGGCCUAACACAUGCAAGUCGAACGAGUGGCGGACGGGUGAGUAAUGUCUGGGAAACUGCCCGAUGGAGGGGGAUCACUACUGGAAACGGUAGCUAAUACAGCAUACCAUCGGAUGUGCCCAGAUGGGAUUAGCUAGUAGGUGGGGUAACGGCUCACCGAGGCGACGAUCCCUAGCUUGUCUGAGCGGAUGACCAGCCACACUGGAACUGAGAAACGGUCCAGACUCCUACGUGAGGCAGCAGGGGGGAAUAUUGCACAAGGGGCGCAAGCCUGAUGCAGCCAUGCCGCGUGUAUGAAGAAGGCCUUCGGGUUGUAAAGUACUUUCAGCGAGGAGGCGUUACUCGCAGAAGAAGCACCGGCUAACGCCGUGCCAGCAGCCGCGGUAAUUC
rnacentral:rRNA from 1 species